rnacentral:rRNA from 1 species
UACGUAGGGUGCGAGCGUUAAUCGGAAUUACUGGGCGUAAAGUGUGCGCAGGCGGCCGCGCAAGUCGAGGGUGAAAGCCCCGGGCUUAACUUGGGAAUUGCGCUCGAAACUACGUGGCUGGAGUGUGGCAGAGGAAGGUGGAAUUCCACGUGUAGCGGUGAAAUGCGUAGAGAUGUGGAGGAACCCCAAUGGCGAAGGCAGCCUUCUGGGCCAACACUGACGCUCAUGCACGAAAGCGUGGGGAGCAAACAGG